AUGACGCCGCAACCACCGCCUCCCUCCCUACCUCGCGCCGCCGCCGGGCCCCGGCCACGAAUCGCACCGCCGCCUUGCCCCGACCUUCAACCGCGCCGCCGCCGCGUCCUCCCUCCCGUGCUGCCACCACCGCCUCCCUCCCCACCUCGCCACCAACCAGCGCUGCGCCGCACCCCUGACCCCAACUGGAGAUGUCGCCUCACCUCCUCCCUGGAUCCCGCGCCAUCAUCCCCCAAGCACUGCCGCUCACAACGGGAGCAACCACCGGUGCGGGCUGCUCCACCACCUACCGGCCUUCACCACUCCCCUCCAUCAGCAUCGGCCCCGCCCCAUCCACCGAGUGCCGUCGUCCCCCAUCUCCCUCCACCCUCCUCUACGCGUGAUGGACGCCAUGGCACGGGACCGUGA
rnacentral:rRNA from 1 species